GGAGGAGGAAGAGGAGGCAGCAAACGGGGUUGGAAGGCAGUUCCCAGGGGCUUCUGUGGCCUGCUGAGGCGCAGUGGGGGAGGCUGGCAGAGGCAAGAGGGCAGGGCCUGAGGGAUGGGGAUGGGAGGCUCUGCCUCUCACAUGUCCUGUCCUCUCCAGACCCCAGGGCUCCGUCCUCUGGACAGUGGAUGGGGUGUCUCCAGCCUUCAUCCAAUACCAGGAAGAGGAUGCACAGGCCACAGCAUUGGAGGCAUUAGGCAGCACACUCUGACACACCACCCUCAUGCUUGAUCCACACAGCACACCUCCAGUUUCCUGAAGGGAGCGUGGUCUCUUGGGUCUACACAUGCUGUUCCCUUUGCUUGUAAUUCCUUUCACCCACUCACUCCUAACUCUUCCUUCAGGGUCCAGCUCAGGAGUGACUCCUCCAAGAGGCCUUCUUUUGUCCCCCACCUGCCCCAGAGCUGCAUUAGGCCUUCCUCAUCAUAGCAGCCUCCACACUGUACUGUAACUCUAGCUCUGGGACUCUCUCUCCCACUAGACUGUGAGCUACUUUGGUUGGGAAUAGUGCUUAAUUCCUCUUUGUAUUCCCAGGGGCCAGUGUAGAGCCUGCAAAGAGAAUACCUCAUGGACAGCUGAUAAGUGAGUGAGUGUGUUGGGGAAGACUGCAGAGGCACCUCUGAGAAGACCUGCACCGGAGCUGGAGGCUGCACCCCCAUGUCCCUGGCUCCACCCUUCCUCCAAGCCUCAGCUUCCGUGCUGUGCUUGCCCAUCCGCUGGUGCUCUUCUGAGCUGCCCUGAGCACACAGCCUGCUGGGAACUCCUACACCUGCUUGCUGGCUUGGCCACGGCUCCUGGGAUCUGGGAGACAAAGCCUUUUUGUAACCUGUUUGGAGAUAUCAGUGCCACUGUCCAGUGAGUCAGGGACCCAAAUGGCCACAAAUGAUGAAGAGGAGAGUUCUCAGAUGGAAGAAGAGGCUCUGAGGAUCCUGGUCAUGGUCUAUGUGUAAUAUCAAAGCAAACAUGGUCCCUGGAUAAGCCUGCACCAAGAACCUCUUCUUCUGUGUCACGACUGAGCUUAUAAAAUUUCUGGAAAGUUUCUCUCAGAGUCAAGCUUGGACAGGAUUUUAUCUGCUUUCCAAUAUGUACUAGAUGUCAUAUGCUAAUAAAAUAUGCCUAAGAUCUAGCCAAAU
rnacentral:lncRNA from 1 species